GAUGAACGCUGGCGGCGUGCCUAAUACAUGCAAGUCGAACGCUGAAGGAGGAUCUUGCUCUUCUGGAUGAGUUGCGAACGGGUGAGUAACGCGUAGGUAACCUGCCUGUUAGCGGGGGAUAACUAUUGGAAACGAUAGCUAAUACCGCAUGACAACAGUUAUUGCAUGAUAACUGUUUAAAAGGGGCAACUGCUCCACUACCAGAUGGACCUGCGUUGUAUUAGCUAGUUGGUGUGGUAACGGCUCACCAAGGCGACGAUACAUAGCCGACCUGAGAGGGUGAUCGGCCACACUGGGACUGGGACACGGCCCAGACUCCUACGGGAGGCAGCAGUAGGGAAUCUUCGGCAAUGGACGGAAGUCUGAACGAGCAACGCCGCGUGAGUGAAGAAGGGUUUCGGAUCGUAAAGCUCUGUUGUAAGAGAAGAACGAGUGGGAGGGUGGAAAGUUCACACUGUGACGGUAUCUUACCAGAAAGGGACGGCUAACUACGUG
rnacentral:rRNA from 1 species